rnacentral:rRNA from 1 species
AUUGAACGCUGGCGGCAGGCCUAACACAUGCAAGUCGAGCGGAUGACGGGAGCUUGCUCCUUGAUUCAGCGGCGGACGGGUGAGUAAUGCCUAGGAAUCUGCCUGAUAGUGGGGGACAACGUUUCGAAAGGAACGCUAAUACCGCAUACGUACUACGGGAGAAAGCAGGCGACCUUCGGGCCUUGGGCUAUCAGAUGAGCCUAGGUCGGAUUAGCUAGUUGGUGGGGUAAUGGCUCACCAAGGCGACGAUCCGUAACUGGUCUGAGAGGAUGAUCAGUCACACUGGAACUGAGACACGGUCCAGACUCCUACGGGAGGCAGCAGUGGGGAAUAUUGGACAAUGGGCGAAAGCCUGAUCCAGCCAUGCCGCGUGUGUGAAGAAGGUCUUCGGAUUGUAAAGCACUUUAAGUUGGGAGGAAGGGCAGUAAGUUAAUACCUUGCUGUUUUGACGUUACCGACAGAAUAAGCACCGGCUAACUCUGUGCCAGCCGCCGCCGUAAAAC